GCCACGUACCCUGAACUUGAAAAGUUCUGAGGACAUAGUUGACUGGCUAACACAGGACACCCAAUCUUCUACAGCCUCCGCUCAGAACCUUGACGCACCAUCCUCCUCCAGCUUAGCUUCAGGCACCUCUCAAGAUACCACUCACCCGCCUGCCGCCACCACCAAAACUAGCACCACAGCCGCUUCAGUUGGUAUGUCAGAGGAGUUAUUCACACAUCCGUUUGAAGAAAUGAGUGAUGCGCAACCAUUAUUGCCAGAGGAUGUAGAUAACAGGGAUAUGUCUCAGGCAGGCAGCAUUACAC